UACUUUUUUUGCCUCACUGUAUGUGUCCUCUUGCUCAGUUGUGCAGCGGGGCCUAUCACUCGUUCUAUUCUGAUUAGACAGUUUUCGCUAUUCUGCAAAGGGAGUAGUACACAGCAUUGUAUGAGAUCUUCCGUUUCUUGGCAAUUUCUCACAUGGAAUAGCAUUAAUUUUUCAGAACAAGAAUAGACUGAGUUUCAGAAGAAAGUUCUUUGUUUCUGGUGAUUUUGAGCCUGUAAUUGAACGCACAAACGCUGAUGCUCCAGAUACUCAACUAGUCUAAAGAAGGCUAGUUUAAAAAAAAAAAAAUAGUUUCAAUUAGUACAACAGUUUUCAUUUGUGCUAGCAUAAUUGCAAAAGUUUUCUAAUGAUCAAUUAGCCUUUUAAAUUGAUAAACAUGGAUUAGCUAAAACAACAUGCCAUUAGAACAGUGAUUGCUGAUUAGUGGGCCUUUGUACACCUAUGUAGAUAUUCUUUAAUCUGUUUACACCUAUAAUAGUCAUUAACAUUAACAAUGUCGACAUUUUCUGAUCAAUUUCAUGUGAUUUUAUUUGACUGGGCAGAAAAAAAAUCUUAAAAUGUCCUUGUUUUCUAUGUGACCCAAACUUUUGAACGGUAGUCUAUGUACCGUGCCUUGCAAAAGUAUUCAUCCCACUUGGUAGUUCUAUUCUGUUGCAUUACAACCUGUAACUUUAAAUGGAUUUUUAUUUGAAUUUAAUGUAAUGGACAUAAACAAAAUAGUCCAUAUUGGUGAAAUGAAAUAACUAACGGGAAAGUGGUGCGUGCAUAUGUAUUCACAUCCUUUGCUAUGAAGCCCCUAAAUAAGAUCUGGUGCAACCAAUUACCUUCAGAAGUCACAAUUUGUUAGAUUGCACACAGGUGAACUUAAUAUAAGUGUCACAUGAUCUCUGUAUAUUAAUUACACCUGUUCUGAAAGGCCACAGAGUUUAACACCACAAAGCAAGCAGCACCAUGAAGAACAAGGAUCUCUCCUAACAGAAAACAGCACCACAACAAACCUGCCAAGAGAGGGCUGACCACAGACCAGGCAAGGAGGAGAUUAAUCAGAGAGGCAACGGAGACCAAAGAACCCUGAAAGAGCGGCAAAGGUCCACAGCGGAGAUUGGAGUAUCUGUCCAUAGGACCACUUGAGCUGGCCUUUACGGAAGAGUGGCCAGACAAAAGCCAUUGCUUAAAGAGACUCCCCAUACAUAUGGAUGAAGGUACUCUGGUCAGAUUAGAUUAAAAUGUAGCUUUUUGUCCGUCAAGGAAAACUCUGUCUGGUGCAAACCCAACACCUCUCAUCACCCCGAGACCUCAUCCCCACAGUGAAGCAUGGUGGUGGCAGCAUCAUGCUGUGGGAUGUUUUUGGUUGGCACGAACUGGGAAACUGGUCAGAAUUAAAGCAAUGAUGCAUGGUGCUAAAUAAAGGGAAAUUCUUGAGGGAAAACCAUUUCAGUCUUCCAGAGAGUUGAGACUGGGACAGAGAUCCACCUUCCAGCAGGACAAUGACUCUAAUUUUUACUGCUAAAGCAACACUUGAGUGGUUUAAGGGGCAACAUUUAAAUGUCUUGGAAUGGUGAUAAUGGGAUUUAUUUGAUCAUGUGAAUGAUUAGAAUAUUCCCCCCUGAAACUGUGAUUGUAUGAAAUUGAUUAGAUUGAUUAGAUUCCUUCUGUGGCUCAGUUGGUAGAGCAUGGCGCUUGUAACGCCAGGGUAAUGGGUUCGAUUCCCGGGACCACCCAUACGUAGAAUGUAUGCACACAUGACUGUAAGUCGCUUUGGAUAAAAGCGUCAGCUAAAUGGCAUAUAUUAUUAUAUUAUAUUAUAUUAUAUAAAAUUAUUCUAAUGGUGUGUGGUUUUAGUCAGUAGAAUUAUAUAUCUCUGUGUGUGUGUAGGUCUAUUAUAGUAUCUUAAACAGACUGAGAAAGAUUUGGUGCCGACCUUGGCUGGGGCCACAGAGUACUUCCCAGGGUCUCUGUCUCCCUAUCUUGAUGGGGAGUAAGUCUCACGGAUUCCCCUAAUCUUUGUUGGCUGGAUAGCAGGACAUGUGUGUGCGCGUAUGUUAGUGUGAAUGUGUGUGCAUGAGAAGCCAGUAUAAAAUGAAGGGUUUUGUACAAUUAACCAGUGCUCUCUAAAAUAAACUUUAACUAUCAUA